rnacentral:lncRNA from 1 species
CUGUUUUACGAAUUCUCCACCUUGACUUCAUCCUCUGCUUUGAGCUCAGCCAUUAGAUUUCUGCAGACCUGUUGAGCAUCUUGAAGCUCAUAUCUCAGCCUCUGUGCUCGUCCAACAAAAUACUGCAUAUUUAAUAAGAAAAUAAUUAUAUGACGUUCUUCAUAAGGUAGACUUAUUUGCUUUAGUAGUACAUGUUUCUUUUAGCAUGAAUAUGUUGUUUAAGAGAGAGGCAGAUGAGCAUCUAAAAUUAGCCUACAGUGUUGAAAUGCCAAAGCAUGCAAGUUUGAAACUAAAGAAGAACGAUGUAAAGUUCAAUCCCGGUGAGUUCAAGGGAGAAGCAACAAUAAUUGGUUCUUAUAUUUGGAAGUUUUAGUUUUCCGUUAAUCUCCAAAUCUGGAUCCUAGAUAUGCAAUGCUAAAAUUGUCCUUAGCUUUAAGACAAACCUUAUGCAAAAGUAGUGUCUGCAAUUUCAUAUUCCACGCACCGGGGAGGAAAAGCAUAUACAACAAGGAGUUCCACAGGUUCAAGAAUGGUGGAGGAUUUUAAGAAAUUGACUUGAUGAUA